rnacentral:rRNA from 1 species
AUUGAACGCUGGCGGAAUGCUUUACACAUGCAAGUCGAACGGUAGAGUAGCAAUACUCGAGAGUGGCGAACGGGUGAGUAAUAUAUCGGAACGUGCCCAACUGUGGGGGAUAACGUAGAGAAAUUUACGCUAAUACCGCAUACGAUCUAAGGAUGAAAGCGGGGGAGUCGCAAGACCUCGCGCAGUUGGAGCGGCUGAUA